GUGGGAAUAGCUCAGUGGUAGAGCACAUACUUAGCAUCCAUGAGGUACUGAGUUCAAUCCCCAGUGCCUCCA
rnacentral:tRNA from 1 species